rnacentral:rRNA from 1 species
AGCCAUGCGAGUCAUUGUAGUAAUACAAGGCAGACGGCUCAGUAACGCGUAGUCAACCUAACCUAUGGACGGGAAUAACCUCGGGAAACUGAGUAUAAUGCCCGAUAGAACAUUAUGCCUGGAAUGGUUUAUGUUCCAAAUGAUUUAUCGCCGUAGGAUGGGACUGCGGCCUAUCAGUUUGUUGGUGAGGUAAUGGCCCACCAAGACUAUUACAGGUACGGGCUCUGAGAGGAGUAGCCCGGAGAUGGGUACUGAGACACGGACCCAGGCCCUAUGGGGCGCAGCAGGCGAGAAAACUUUGCAAUGUGCGAAAGCACGACAAGGUUAAUCCGAGUGGUUUCUGCUAAAGGAACCUUUUGUCGGUCCUAGAAACACCGAUGAAUAAGGGGUGGGCAAGUUCUGGUGUCAGCCGCCGCGGUAAAACCAGCACCUCAAGUGGUCAGGAUGAUUAUUGGGCCUAAAGCAUCCGUAGCCGGCUCUAUAAGUUUUCGGUUAAAUCUGUACGCUCAACGUACAGGCUGCCGGGAAUACUGCAGAGCUAGGGAGUGGGAGAAGUAGACGGUACUCGGUAGGAAGGGGUAAAAUCCUUUGAUCUAUUGAUGACCACCUGUGGCGAAGGCGGUCUACCAGAACACGUCCGACGGUGAGGGAUGAAAGCUGGGGGAGCAAACCGGAUUAGAUACCCGGGUAGUCCCAGCUGUAAACUAUGCAAACUCAGUGAUGCAUUGGCUUGUGGCUAAUGCAGUGCUGCAGGGAAGCCGUUAAGUUUGCCGCCUGGGAAGUACGUACGCAAGUAUGAAACUUAAAGGAGUUGGCGGGG